AGUUUGAAUCCUGGCUCAGAACGAACGCUGGCGGCAUGCCUAAUACAUGCAAGUCGAACGAGAUCUUCGGAUCUAGUGGCGCACGGGUGCGUAACGCGUGGGAAUCUGCCCUUGGGUUCGGAAUAACUUCUGGAAACGGAAGCUAAUACCGGAUGAUGACGUAAGUCCAAAGAUUUAUCGCCCAAGGAUGAGCCCGCGUAGGAUUAGCUAGUUGGUGGGGUAAAGGCUCACCAAGGCGACGAUCCUUAGCUGGUCUGAGAGGAUGAUCAGCCACACUGGGACUGAGACACGGCCCAGACUCCUACGGGAGGCAGCAGUAGGGAAUAUUGGACAAUGGGCGAAAGCCUGAUCCAGCAAUGCCGCGUGAGUGAUGAAGGCCUUAGGGUUGUAAAGCUCUUUUACCCGGGAUGAUAAUGACAGUACCGGGAGAAUAAGCUCCGGCUAACUCCGUGCCAGCAGCCGCGGUAAUACGGAGGGAGCUAGCGUUGUUCGGAAUUACUGGGCGUAAAGCGCACGUAGGCGGCUAUUCAAGUCAGAGGUGAAAGCCCGGGGCUCAACCCCGGAACUGCCUUUGAAACUAGAUAGCUUGAAUCCAGGAGAGGUGAGUGGAAUUCCGAGUGUAGAGGUGAAAUUCGUAGAUAUUCGGAAGAACACCAGUGGCGAAGGCGGCUCACUGGACUGGUAUGACGCUGAGGUGCGA
rnacentral:rRNA from 1 species